rnacentral:rRNA from 1 species
AACGAACGCUGGCGGCAGGCUUAACACAUGCAAGUCGAGCGCCCCGCGAGGGGAGCGGCAGACGGGUGAGUAACGCGUGGGAACGUACCCUUUGCUACGGAAUAGCUCCGGGAAACUGGAAUUAAUACCGUAUGUGCCCUACGGGGGAAAGAUUUAUCGGCAAAGGAUCGGCCCGCGUUGGAUUAGCUAGUUGGUGGGGUAAUGGCCUACCAAGGCGACGAUCCAUAGCUGGUCUGAGAGGAUGAUCAGCCACAUUGGGACUGAGACACGGCCCAAACUCCUACGGGAGGCAGCAGUGGGGAAUAUUGGACAAUGGGCGCAAGCCUGAUCCAGCCAUGCCGCGUGAGUGAUGAAGGCCUUAGGGUUGUAAAGCUCUUUCACCGGAGAAGAUAAUGACGGUAUCCGGAGAAGAAGCCCCGGCUAACUUCGUGCCAGCAGCCGCUGUAAGAC